GAUGAACGCUGGCGGCGUGCCUAAUACAUGCAAGUCGAGCGAACAGAUAAGGAGCUUGCUCCUUUGACGUUAGCGGCGGACGGGUGAGUAACACGUGGGUAACCUACCUAUAAGACUGGAAUAACUUCGGGAAACCGGGGCUAAUGCCGGAUAACAUUUAGAACCGCAUGGUUCUAAAGUGAAAGAUGGUUUUGCUAUCACUUAUAGAUGGAUCCGCGCCGUAUUAGCUAGUUGGUAAGGUAACGGCUUACCAAGGCAACGAUACGUAGCCGACCUGAGAGGGUGAUCGGCCACACUGGAACUGAGACACGGUCCAGACUCCUACGGGAGGCAGCAGUAGGGAAUCUUCCGCAAUGGGCGAAAGCCUGACGGAGCAACGCCGCGUGAGUGAUGAAGGUCUUCGGAUCGUAAAACUCUGUUAUUAGGGAAGAACAAAUGUGUAAGUAACUAUGCACGUCUUGACGGUACCUAAUCAGAAAGCCACGGCUAACUACGUG
rnacentral:rRNA from 1 species